rnacentral:rRNA from 1 species
AGAGUUUGAUCCUGGCUCAGAUUGAACGCUGGCGGCAUGCUUUACACAUGCAAGUCGAGCGGGGUGGAGGGGCAACUCUUCAUUCAGCGGCGGACGGGUGAGUAAUGCAUCGGAACGUAUCCUGAAGUGGGGGACAACCCAGCGAAAGCUGGGCUAAUACCGCAUACGCUCGGGAGAGGAAAGUGGGGGACCUGAAAGGGCCUCAUGCUUUGGGGGCGGCCGAUGUCCGAUUAGCUGGUUGGUGGGGUAAAGGCCUACCAAGGCGACGAUCGGUAGCUGGUCUGAGAGGAUGAUCAGCCACACUGGGACUGAGACACGGCCCAGACUCCUACGGGAGGCAGCAGUGGGGAAUUUUGGACAAUGGGGGCAACCCUGAUCCAGCCAUGCCGCGUGCGGGAAGAAGGCCUUCGGGUUGUAAACCGCUUUUGGUCGGGAAGAAAGGGUCACCGU